UACGUAGGGGGCAAGCGUUGUCCGGAAUUAUUGGGCGUAAAGAGCGCGUAGGCGGUCCGGUAAGUCGGUUGUGAAAGUCGGGGGCUCAACCCUCGGAUGCCGAUCGAUACUGUCGGGCUAGAGUCCGGAAGAGGCGAGUGGAAUUCCUGGUGUAGCGGUGAAAUGCGUAGAUAUCAAGAGGAACACCUGAGGUGAAGACGGGUUGCUGGUCUAACACUGACGCUGAGGCGCGAAAGCCAGGGGAGCAAACGGG
rnacentral:rRNA from 1 species